CCUACGGGAGGCAGCAGUGAGGAAUAUUGGUCAAUGGGCGAAAGCCUGAACCAGCCAAGUCGCGUGAGGGAUGACGGUCCUAUGGAUUGUAAACCUCUUUUGUCGGGGAGCAAGGCCCGCCACGUGUGGCGGGAAGGAGAGUACCCGAAGAAAAAGCAUCGGCUAACUCCGUGCCAGAAGCCGAGGUAAUACGGGGGAUGCGAGCGUUAUCCGGAUUUAUUGGGUUUAAAGGGUGCGUAGGCGGAAGGUUAAGUCAGCGGUCAAAUGUCGGUGCUCAACAUCGGACUGCCGUUGAAACUGGUCUUCUUGAGUGAGCGAGAAGUAUGCGGAAUGCGUGGUGUAGCGGUGAAAUGCAUAGAUAUCACGCAGAACUCCGAUUGCGAAGGCAGCAUACCGGCGCUCAACUGACGCUGAGGCACGAAAGCGUGGGUAUCGAACAGGAUUAGAUACCCCAGUAGUC
rnacentral:rRNA from 1 species